rnacentral:rRNA from 1 species
UACAGAGGUCUCAAGCGUUGUUCGGAUUCAUUGGGCGUAAAGGGUGCGUAGGCGGCGCGGUAAGUCGGGGUGUGAAAUUCGAGGCUUAACUCGAAACUGCAUUCGAUACUGCCGUGCUUGAGGACUGGAGAGGAGACUGGAAUUUACGGUGUAGCGGUGAAAUGCGUAGAUAUCGUAAGGAAGACCAGUGGCGAAGGCGGGUCUCUGGACAGUUCCUGACGCUGAGGCACGGAAGGUCCAGGGGAGCAAACGGG